UACUGUGGUGUUGCUUUAGCAAUGUGGUAAUAUUCCUUUUUUUGUUGGAUGAACAAAAGUCUAUUGGUACUUAUUCCUGCUGGCAUUGGAGCAGUUAUUGAGCUAUGGAAAGUUAAGAAGGCUUUGAAGAUUUCCUUUAGUUUGAAUGGGCUGAAUAAAGAUAAUAAAGUAUGGCGCUCACAGUGAAUCUGAAAGGAAGACAGAAGAAUAUGAUACACAGUUAACCUUAAUAUAGUGAUUAUUAAACAAAAUACAUUUUAACUUCUGAUGAAAUCUGUUGCACAUUUACCUUGGAAGACAUUCAC